AAAAAGAAAAAAAAAACCCCCAGUCUGAGCUUGACUAAGCAUCAACUUAUAGUCCACUGGCACACGCUGACGCUGUCUUCUUUCUGGUGAAUCCAAUCCAAUCCAAUCCAAUAUGGAUCCUCCAUUGAUAAACGAGAAGUCCUUCUCUGCGGCCAACCCAUCUUCCUACUCAUUAACUGAGAUUUGGCCUUUUCCUCCUCCUUCUUCAACUGCUUUGGGCCUCCGGAUGGCUAAUUUGGCCGACCGAGAUGGGUCCGUUGACGAAUCCACUGUGACCGAGCAGAGGGGUGGAAAUAGAAAUGGAAAUAGGAAGGCUAGAGAUUUGAGUUCCGAGGAGGAUGACUCAUCCAUAAUGGUUUCUACCACCACUAGUGCCCAUGAUUUGAAUGAUUUGAAUGGUAAGCGGAGGAAAAUUUCGGGGUCAAGGAAUGAAAACAAUGAUUCAAGAGCUGAAAUAGAAGCAAGUUCUGCUGCUAAUAACAAGCCAGCUGAACCAAGCAGUAAACCAUCUGAGCCGCCUAUGCAAGACUAUAUUCAUGUCAGAUCAAGAAGGGGCCAAGCGACUGAUAGCCACAGUUUAGCAGAGAGAGCUCGGAGAGAGAGGAUUGGUGAGAGGAUGAAGAUACUCCAAGAUUUGGUCCCUGGGUGUAAUAAGGUCAUUGGUAAAGCACUUGCCCUUGAUGAGAUAAUUAAUUACAUCCAGUCACUCCAGUGUCAGGUUGAGUUCCUCUCAAUGAAGCUAGAAGCAGUAAAUUCAAGGAUGAGCACGAGCCCCGCGAUUGAAGGCCUUCAUCCAAAAGACGAGAAAUUGCACUAAAGAAAUAUUGAAUCCCAACUGCUGUUGCCCCAGUUUCGGAAUGUAGGUUGAGAGGUUUACAUUUGGAACACAAAAGGCAGACAAGAGAGGUUGCUCGUUGUGACAGCAAUCUUAACCUCAUCCUUUGUUGUAUUUGUCAAUCUCAUAUCAUAUUCUUCCAAUUGCUCAUGUCUUUGAACAAGCAAACAAAUGAAAUUUCUGAUGAAAUUACAAAAUCCACUUGGUGCACAGCCAUUUGAUGCUACUGGAAUGAUAUUUGGCCCACAACCAACAAGAGACUAUGUUCAAGGAUCCCAACCGGAAUGGCUACAUAUGCAGGUUGGUGGAAGUUUUAAAAGAGCCACGUAAUCGAGGAACUAGAUUUCUUCAGUUUAUUGAGAAGAGAUUUGUUAUUGGCUUCCA